rnacentral:rRNA from 1 species
AAAGGAAUAGACGGGGGCCCGCACAAGCAGCGGAGCAUGUGGUUUAAUUCGAAGCAACGCGAAGAACCUUACCAGGACUUGACAUCCUACUAAUCUUUAGGAAACUAGGGAGUGCCCUUCGGGGAAAGUAGAGACAGGUGGUGCAUGGUUGUCGUCAGCUCGUGUCGUGAGAUGUUGGGUUAAGUCCCGCAACGAGCGCAACCCCUAUACUUAGUUACCAGCAUGAAAGAUGGGGACUCUAGGUAGACUGCCGUGGAUAACACGGAGGAAGGCGGGGACGACGUCAAAUCAUCAUGCCCCUUAUGUUCUGGGCUACACACGUGCUACAAUGGCUGUCAACAAAGGGAAGCGAAGCCGUAAGGUGGAGCAAAUCUCACAAAAGCAGUCUUAGUUCGGAUUGUGGGCUGCAACCCGCCCACAUGAAGUUGGAGUUGCUAGUAAUCGCGAAUCAGAACGUCGCGGUGAAUGCGUUCCCGGGCCUUGUACACACCGCCCGU